GGAACAUCAUCACCAUUGCAGUGUUUUAUGCCCUGCCAGUCAUCCAACUUGUCAUCACUUACCAGACGGUAGUGAAUGUGACAGGCAAUCAGGACAUCUGCUACUACAACUUUCUGUGCGCUCAUCCCCUUGGGGUGCUGAGUGCCUUCAACAACAUCCUCAGCAAUGUGGGCCACAUGCUGCUGGGCUUUCUCUUCCUCCUCAUUGUGUUGCGCAGGGACAUUCUCCACCGUCGCGCCAUGGAGAUGAAAGAUGUCUAUACACUGGUAAGAAGCAUGGCUUCAUGGGGCUGAGUGGA
rnacentral:lncRNA from 14 species